CCCCAAGUGGUGGAAUGGCAGACACCGUAGAACUCAAAAUCUACUGGAGAAAUCCAGUGCAGGUUCAAGUCCUGUCUUGGGGACCA
rnacentral:tRNA from 1 species